AUAUUAUCCUUACUAAUAUUAUAAAUCGGAAAGUGAGUUUGUUUGUUUGUUUGUUUGUUUGUUCCGCUUUCACGCCGUAACUACUGAACCGAUUGCUUUGAAAUUUUGCAGACGUAAAGUUAGAAGUCCGGAUUAAAUAAUAGGGUACUUUUUAUCCCGAAAAAAAUAGAUAUUCCCGAGGGAAAACAAAAAUAUUGUUUGCUUGAUGGAUGGAUUGUAGAUGGCGCUGGGUGUUUUUAAAACGUGGUAACGAUGUGUUUUUAAAAUACGUAAGAAGUGGAAUGAUAGCUUUUUAAAACGUGGUGACGUUGUUUUUUUUAAGAUACGUAAGAAGUGCAAUGAUAUCUCGCGCUUUAACCUGUAGCUCAUUGUUCAAUCGCGAGCUUCCCGAUAGCUCGAUAGAUGGCGUUGUGCUUUUCUGUAUCGCGGUGUUAAGGUUCGCCGCGAAUUAGUCUUAAGGUGUUUUGAAAUCAGUGGGGCCCAGUAGGGCCAGGGCCAGCCGGGGCUGAGGGUUGUUCGAAAGAGAUACCGCGGCCCUGGUAUAUAAAAGGCCUAGGACGGAACACGACGAUUUUAGUCAGUAAGAGUCUGACACUCCCUCACCGCUGCUAACCCGCAGCGGGAGGGGUCAUUUGAUGAUUUUACGUCGCUAAAAAAAAAGAUGUUUUGAAAUAAAUAUUUUUUU